rnacentral:rRNA from 1 species
AGAGUUUGAUCCUGGCUCAGGACGAACGCUGGCGGCGUGCCUAAUACAUGCAAGUCGAACGAAGCUUUCUUUCACCGAAUGCUUGCAUUCACCGAAAGAAGCUUAGUGGCGAACGGGUGAGUAACACGUAGGCAACCUGCCCAAAAGAGGGGGAUAACACUUGGAAACAGGUGCUAAUACCGCAUAACCAUGAACACCGCAUGAUGUUCAUGUAAAAGACGGCUUUUGCUGUCACUUUUGGAUGGGCCUGCGGCGUAUUAACUUGUUGGUGGGGUAACGGCCUACCAAGGUGAUGAUACGUAGCCGAACUGAGAGGUUGAUCGGCCACAUUGGGACUGAGACACGGCCCAAACUCCUACGGGAGGCAGCAGUAGGGAAUCUUCCACAAUGGACGAAAGUCUGAUGGAGCAACGCCGCGUGAAUGAAGAAGGCCUUCGGGUCGUAAAAUUCUGUUGUCAGAGAAGAACGUGCGUGAGAGUAACUGUUCACGUAUUGACGGUAUCUGACCAGAAAGCCACGGCUAACUACGUGCCAGCAGCCGCGGUAAUACGUAGGUGGCGAGCGUUGUCCGGAUUUAUUGGGCGUAAAGGGAACGCAGGCGGUCUUUUAAGUCUGAUGUGAAAGCCUUCGGCUUAACCGAAGUAGUGCAUUGGAAACUGGAAGACUUGAGUGCAGAAGAGGAGAGUGGAACUCCAUGUGUAGCGGUGAAAUGCGUAGAUAUAUGGAAGAACACCAGUGGCGAAAGCGGCUCUCUGGUCUGUAACUGACGCUGAGGUUCGAAAGCGUGGGUAGCAAACAGGAUUAGAUACCCUGGUAGUCCACGCCGUAAACGAUGAGUGCUAAGUGUUGGAGGGUUUCCGCCCUUCAGUGCUGCAGCUAACGCAUUAAGCACUCCGCCUGGG